AGCGUACACGGUGGAUGCCCUGGCAGUCAGAGGCGAUGAAGGACGUGCUAAUCUGCGAUAAGCGUCGGUAAGGUGAUAUGAACCGUUAUAACCGGCGAUUUCCGAAUGGGGAAACCCAGUGUGAUUCGUCACACUAUCAUUAACUGAAUCCAUAGGUUAAUGAGGCGAACCGGGGGAACUGAAACAUCUAAGUACCCCGAGGAAAAGAAAUCAACCGAGAUUCCCCCAGUAGCGGCGAGCGAACGGGGAGCAGCCCAGAGCCUGAAUCAGUGUGUGUGUUAGUGGAAGCGUCUGGAAAGGCGUGCGAUACAGGGUGACAGCCCCGUACACAAAAAUGCACAUACUGUGAGCUCGAUGAGUAGGGCGGGACACGUGGUAUCCUGUCUGAAUAUGGGGGGACCAUCCUCCAAGGCUAAAUACUCCUGACUGACCGAUAGUGAACCAGUACCGUGAGGGAAAGGCGAAAAGAACCCCGGCGAGGGGAGUGAAAAAGAACCUGAAACCGUGUACGUACAAGCAGUGGGAGCACGCUUAGGCGUGUGACUGCGUACCUUUUGUAUAAUGGGUCAGCGACUUAUAUUCUGUAGCAAGGUUAACCGAAUAGGGGAGCCGAAGGGAAACCGAGUCUUAACUGGGCGUUAAGUUGCAGGGUAUAGACCCGAAACCCGGUGAUCUAGCCAUGGGCAGGUUGAAGGUUGGGUAACACUAACUGGAGGACCGAACCGACUAAUGUUGAAAAAUUAGCGGAUGACUUGUGGCUGGGGGUGAAAGGCCAAUCAAACCGGGAGAUAGCUGGUUCUCCCCGAAAGCUAUUUAGGUAGCGCCUCGUGAAUUCAUCUCCGGGGGUAGAGCACUGUUUCGGCAAGGGGGUCAUCCCGACUUACCAACCCGAUGCAAACUGCGAAUACCGGAGAAUGUUAUUACGGGAGACACACGGCGGGUGCUAACGUCCGUCGUGAAGAGGGAAACAACCCAGACCGCCAGCUAAGGUCCCAAAGUCAUGGUUAAGUGGGAAACGAUGUGGGAAGGCCCAGACAGCCAGGAUGUUGGCUUAGAAGCAGCCAUCAUUUAAAGAAAGCGUAAUAGCUCACUGGUCGAGUCGGCCUGCGCGGAAGAUGUAACGGGGCUAAACCAUGCACCGAAGCUGCGGCAGCGACGCUUAUGCGUUGUUGGGUAGGGGAGCGUUCUGUAAGCCUGUGAAGGUGUGCUGUGAGGUAUGCUGGAGGUAUCAGAAGUGCGAAUGCUGACAUAAGUAACGAUAAAGCGGGUGAAAAGCCCGCUCGCCGGAAGACCAAGGGUUCCUGUCCAACGUUAAUCGGGGCAGGGUGAGUCGACCCCUAAGGCGAGGCCGAAAGGCGUAGUCGAUGGGAAACAGGUUAAUAUUCCUGUACUUGGUGUUACUGCGAAGGGGGGACGGAGAAGGCUAUGUUGGCCGGGCGACGGUUGUCCCGGUUUAAGCGUGUAGGCUGGUUUUCCAGGCAAAUCCGGAAAAUCAAGGCCGAGGCGUGAUGACGAGGCACUACGGUGCUGAAGCAACAAAUGCCCUGCUUCCAGGAAAAGCCUCUAAGCAUCAGGUAACAUCAAAUCGUACCCCAAACCGACACAGGUGGUCAGGUAGAGAAUACCAAGGCGCUUGAGAGAACUCGGGUGAAGGAACUAGGCAAAAUGGUGCCGUAACUUCGGGAGAAGGCACGCUGAUACGUAGGUGAAGCGACUUGCUCGUGGAGCUGAAAUCAGUCGAAGAUACCAGCUGGCUGCAACUGUUUAUUAAAAACACAGCACUGUGCAAACACGAAAGUGGACGUAUACGGUGUGACGCCUGCCCGGUGCCGGAAGGUUAAUUGAUGGGGUUAGCGCAAGCGAAGCUCUUGAUCGAAGCCCCGGUAAACGGCGGCCGUAACUAUAACGGUCCUAAGGUAGCGAAAUUCCUUGUCGGGUAAGUUCCGACCUGCACGAAUGGCGUAAUGAUGGCCAGGCUGUCUCCACCCGAGACUCAGUGAAAUUGAACUCGCUGUGAAGAUGCAGUGUACCCGCGGCAAGACGGAAAGACCCCGUGAACCUUUACUAUAGCUUGACACUGAACAUUGAGCCUUGAUGUGUAGGAUAGGUGGGAGGCUUUGAAGUGUGGACGCCAGUCUGCAUGGAGCCGACCUUGAAAUACCACCCUUUAAUGUUUGAUGUUCUAACGUGGACCCGUGAUCCGGGUUGCGGACAGUGUCUGGUGGGUAGUUUGACUGGGGCGGUCUCCUCCUAAAGAGUAACGGAGGAGCACGAAGGUUGGCUAAUCCUGGUCGGACAUCAGGAGGUUAGUGCAAUGGCAUAAGCCAGCUUGACUGCGAGCGUGACGGCGCGAGCAGGUGCGAAAGCAGGUCAUAGUGAUCCGGUGGUUCUGAAUGGAAGGGCCAUCGCUCAACGGAUAAAAGGUACUCCGGGGAUAACAGGCUGAUACCGCCCAAGAGUUCAUAUCGACGGCGGUGUUUGGCACCUCGAUGUCGGCUCAUCACAUCCUGGGGCUGAAGUAGGUCCCAAGGGUAUGGCUGUUCGCCAUUUAAAGUGGUACGCGAGCUGGGUUUAGAACGUCGUGAGACAGUUCGGUCCCUAUCUGCCGUGGGCGCUGGAGAACUGAGGGGGGCUGCUCCUAGUACGAGAGGACCGGAGUGGACGCAUCACUGGUGUUCGGGUUGUCAUGCCAAUGGCACUGCCCGGUAGCUAAAUGCGGAAGAGAUAAGUGCUGAAAGCAUCUAAGCACGAAACUUGCCCCGAGAUGAGUUCU
rnacentral:rRNA from 1 species